AGUCGAACGAGAUCUUCGGAUCUAGUGGCGCACGGGUGAGUAACGCGUGGGAACCUACCUUUUAGUACGGGACAACGUUUGGAAACGAACGCUAAUACCGUAUACGCCCUCCGGGGGAAAGGUCAGCCGCUAAAAGAGGGGCCCGCGUCUGAUUAGCUUGUUGGUAAGGUAAUGGCUUACCAAGGCUACGAUCAGUAGCUGGUCUGAGAGGAUGAUCAGCCACACUGGGACUGAGACACGGCCCAGACUCCUACGGGAGGCAGCAGUGGGGAAUAUUGGACAAUGGAGGCAACUCUGAUCCAGCAAUGCCGCGUGUGUGAUGAAGGCCCUAGGGUUGUAAAGCACUUUCAACGGUGAAGAUGAUGACGGUAGCCGUAGAAGAAGCCCCGGCUAACUUCGUGCCAGCAGCCGCGGUAAUACGAAGGGGGCGAGCGUUAUUCGGAAUUAUUGGGCGUAAAGGGCUCGCAGGCUGCUUGAACAGUUAGACGUGAAAUCCCCGGGCUCAACCUGGGAACUGCGUUUAAUACUAGCAAGCUAGAGAAAUAGAGAGGAAAAGUGGAACUCCCAGUGUAGAGGUGAAAUUCGUAGAUAUUGGGAAGAAAACCAGUGGCGAAAGCGACUUUCUGGCUAUUUUCUUGACGCUGAGGAGCGAAAGCGUGGGGAGCAAACAGGGAUUAGAUACCCUGGUAGUCCCACGCCGUAAACGAUGUGUGCUAGAUGUUGGAGGGAUACCUUUCAGUGUCGCAGCUAACGCACUAAGCACACCGCCUGGG
rnacentral:rRNA from 1 species